UACGAAGGGGGCUAGCGUUGCUCGGAAUCACUGGGCGUAAAGCGCACGUAGGCGGCUUUGUAAGUUAGAGGUGAAAGCCCGGGGCUCAACUCCGGAAUUGCCUUUAAGACUGCAUCGCUUGAACAUCGGAGAGGUGAGUGGAAUUCCGAGUGUAGAGGUGAAAUUCGUAGAUAUUAGGAAGAACACCAGUGGCGAAGGCGGCUCACUGGCCCGGUACUGACGCUGAGGCGCGAAAGCGUGGGGAGCAAACAGG
rnacentral:rRNA from 1 species